rnacentral:rRNA from 1 species
UGGAGGGCAAGUCUGGUGCCAGCAGCCGCGGUAAUUCCAGCUCCAAUAGCGUAUAUUAAAGUUGUUGAGGUUAAAAAGCUCGUGGUUGAACCUUGGGCCUAGCCGGCCGGUCCGCCUCACCGCGUGCACUGGCUCGGCUGGGCCUUUCCUUCUGGAGAACCGCAUGCCCUUCACUGGGUGUGCUGGGGAACCAGGACUUUUACUCUGAACAAAUUAGAUCGCUUAAAGAAGGCCUAUGCUCGAAUACAUUAGCAUGGAAUAAUAGAAUAGGACGUGUGGUUCUAUUUUGUUGGUUUCUAGGACCGCCGUAAUGAUUAAUAGGGACAGUCGGGGGCAUCAGUAUUCAAUUGUCAGAGGUGAAAUUCUUGGAUUUAUUGAAGACUAACUACUGCGAAAGCAUUUGCCAAGGAUGUUUUCAUUAAUCAGGAACGAAAGUUAGGGGAUCGAAGACGAUCAGAUACCGCCGUAGUCUUAACCAUAAACUAUGCCGAUUAGGGAUCGGACGGUGUUAUUUUUUGACCCGUUCGGCGCCUUACGGGAAAC